rnacentral:rRNA from 1 species
UGAGGAAUAUUGGUCAAUGGACGCAAGUCUGAACCAGCCAAGUAGCGUGCAGGAUGACGGCCCUAUGGGUUGUAAACUGCUUUUAUGUGGGAAUAAAUUGGCGCACGUGUGCGCCAUUGCAUGUACCUCAUGAAUAAGGACCGGCUAAUUCCGUGCCAGCAGCCGCGGUAAUACGGAAGGUCCGGGCGUUAUCCGGAUUUAUUGGGUUUAAAGGGAGUGUAGGCGGUCUGUUAAGCGUGUUGUGAAAUUUAGGUGCUCAACAUUUAACUUGCAGCGCGAACUGUCAGACUUGAGUACACGCAGCGCAGGCGGAAUUCAUGGUGUAGCGGUGAAAUGCUUAGAUAUCAUGAGGAACUCCGAUCGCGAAGGCAGCCUGCGGGAGUGUUACUGACGCUUAAGCUCGAAGGUGCGGGUAUCGAACAGGAUUAGAUACCCUGGUAGUCCGCACAGUAAACGAUGGAUGCCCGCCGUUGGCGCCCUGCGCCUGCGGCCAAGCGAAAGCAUUAAGCAUCCCACCUGGGGAGUACGCCGGCNACGGU